rnacentral:rRNA from 1 species
UACGGAGGAUGCGAGCGUUAUCCGGAUUUAUUGGGUUUAAAGGGUGCGUAGGCGGAUCGUUAAGUCAGUGGUCAAAUUGAGGGGCUCAACCCCUUCCCGCCAUUGAAACUGGCGAUCUUGAGUGGAAGAGAAGUACGCGGAAUGCGUGGUGUAGCGGUGAAAUGCAUAGAUAUCACGCAGAACUCCGAUUGCGAAGGCAGCGUACCGGCAUCCAACUGACGCUGAGGCACGAAAGCGUGGGGAUCAAACAGG